rnacentral:rRNA from 1 species
UAAUACGGAGGGGGCUAGCGUUGUUCGGAAUUACUGGGCGUAAAGGGUGCGUAGGCGGCUAUCCAAGUCAGACGUGAAAGGCCUGGGCUCAACCCGGGAACUGCGUUUGAGACUGGGUGGCUGGAGUCCGGGAGAGGUGAGCGGAAUUCCCAGUGUAGAGGUGAAAUUCGUAGAUAUUGGGAAGAACACCGGUGGCGAAGGCGGCUCACUGGACCGGUACUGACGCUGAGGCACGAAAGCGUGGGGAGCAAACAGGAUUAGAUACCCUGGUAGUCCACGCCGUAAACGAUGUGCGCUAGACGCAGGGGGUUCAGCCUUCUGUGUCGCAGCUAACGCGUUAAGCGCACCGCCUGGGGAGUACGGCCGCAAGGUUA